GCAACAAAGUAUCUAUGACAUUAGUAAUUCUCUGUAUAAGAUGGAAAUUCUUCAGAACUGUAAUUUUGAAUGAAGCUAUUUUCUGAUAUUUGAAUCUUGCCAAAAAUGAACAUGAGUGAUAUAACCCAUAUAACAAAACAGAUGAUAGUUGUCUUUGCAAGUUGCACUGCAAAGAUUGCUUUUUAGUGAAGUUAUCCUUGGCGGUGUUAGAUAAGUAUUAACGCGACUGUUUACUUGGUUAAGAUUACAUUCACGUUAUUUCUUCUAACCUUCUAAUCUCUAUACACAGCUAGCUACAGCUUGGGACAACUGCUAGAAGAAUGAACGGUUGAUUCCUCUACAGCAACGCCUGAGGUCAGGUUCUAUGCGAGUGCAACAGUGCUGGCGGUGUCGGCCGUGGUGGUAGCAUGUGCACUUGCCGAGGGUGGAUGAGGCUUUGAUGAUGGAGCUAGCAAAGAAGGCAUGGAGCAAAUGGAGACGGGGUUCCUUUGUGACAACGUAUGGGAGGCUGAUGGGUUCCCUUGGAAGUUGGAACAAUGCGAUGUUGCCGAGACAGCACACUGGGUUCCAAUUCCAGUUGGACGAAUAGUAUAUAAUUUUGUGGGAAGUCUUACCGUCCCUAUUUCAUAGAAAAAAAAUCCAGGUUGCUGAGUUUUGGCCUUAAGGUGCAGCAUUGAUAAGGAAAUUAUGCAUCUGUUGAGAUUAAUUAAUUCAACCUGAGGAUAGACAUCCUCACUUCAGUUCAAAAUUAUCCAGAAGAAGUGUGAUUUCUAUUCCAUAUUCAUUGACUUUUCUAAGACCUAUUAGUAAAUUCAUUAGCUUCUUUAAUCCAGUGAUUCUGGGUAAACCGAC